CUGGUAUACCUCUGUUUCUAUUUUGUUUUAUAUGACAUGUUUCCUUCAAUGGUUUUUGGUAUUGUCUUGUCUAAUCUUGUUAUUUCUUUCUCUGAAUUAGAUCUGCCCAAUAUUUCUGGAUAUUUUCUUUUAAUUUGUGCUGAAAAGAAUCACAUCUUUGUAUGUUUGAAAACUCUAUUGUUUCAAUUUUUUUUACUCUUAGUGACAUGGUCUUAUGAUUAUAGAAAUGUCAUGACAUACUUAAAACCACAAGUUCUCGGUAAAAUUUAGAUAUAUAUGAAAAUAAAUUCUUUCUUUCGUGAACGCUGUACUCAAUCCAAUAAUACUAUGUAAACAGGGAGAAUAAUUUUUGUUUCACUUACUUGCAUGUAAAAGGUGGUGAGUUGGGGUCAAUUGGAAAGACACCUGGAGCACUUGGAGUGCCUGGAUAAAUGAUAGGUGUAGUGGGGGUGGUAGGAGUCGGGGAGUAACCACCCCCUGGAGUGCUUGGAGUUCCGGGGUCAAUGGUAGGAGUAGGUGGUGUUUCAAUGAUUGGAGUAGUUGGGGUAGUAGGUGUAGGGGAAGGAUAGUAACCACCACCCCCUGGAGUGCUUGGAGUACCAGGGUCAACGGUAGGCGUAGGUGGUGUUUCAAUGGUAGGUGUAGAGGGGGUGGUAGGUGUAGGUGUAGGCGAAGGAUAGUAGCCACCACCACCUGGAGUGCUUGGAGUUCCGGGGUCAGCGGUAGGAGUAGGUGGUGUUUCAAUAGUAGGUGCGGAGGGAGUGGAUGGUGUACUAGGGGUACUAGGUGUAGGAGUACUUGGAGUCGGGGAAGGAUAGUAGCCACUUCCACCCCCUGGAGUACUUGGAGUGCCAGGGUCUGGAGUUGGGGUUACAACAGGUGUAGAGGGGGUGGAUGGUGUACUAGGGGUACUAGGUGUUGGAGUACUAGGAGGGCUUCCUCCACCAUGAUGAGCUGGUGGAGAGGGAGAAUAACCACCACCUCCAUGACCGCCUGAUGGAGGAGAUGGGGUAGGGUUAUGGUGAUGAUGAUGCCCUCCACUAGGGGGAGUCGGGUUACCACAGUUACCACCUGGUGGGUUUCCUCCAUGACCACCGCUUCCAUGCGAAGGUGUUCCAUGACCACCUCUUGAACCAUGAGAUGGAGGUGUGUAUGAACCUGUCAAUCAUAAAAAUAUACUAUGAGUGCAAAAUGCUUAUAUAUAAAAGAGGAUUGGAUUUAUAUACAUUGACAAUAGCGCAAAGAACUUUUAUACUGUCCGUAGGUUUUAACUUGUUUAUAGCAUGUAAUAUGUCUUAUUUUCAUGUUAUGGCAUACUGUCCAUAUGUUUUACUGAACUACUAGUAUAUAAUUUAUUUUACUGUAUCAAAGCAUAGAAGUUAGUUGAAACAAUCUGUGAAGUAAAGCUCACGUCUCCAAAUUGCUUUGUUUCUUAAUUUGGUCUCCUUGCCAGUAAUAAUUUUUGCUACUUCCAGCAAUAUUAGCCGACAUUUGGCUCAUAAAGUGUUUAAACAAAUCAUUUUAGCUUUUGCCAAGACUUUAAAGUAGUUAGUAACAAGAAUUCCAUCAUGAAACCAAAAACAACAUAAGUUGUGCGAACUCUGCACUUUCAAUGACACACCCGUAUCGGAUUCUUCAAACAUACACUAUUUUUGAAGAAUCCGACACACACCUAUUGAUAUUUUGA
rnacentral:lncRNA from 1 species